rnacentral:rRNA from 1 species
CAGUCGCCGCGGUAAUACGUAGGUGGCGAGCGUUGUCCGGAAUUAUUGGGCGUAAAGGGAGCGCAGGCGGACAUAUAAGUCCAUCUUAAAAGUGCGGGGCUCAACCCCGUGAGGGGAUGGAAACUGUAUGCCUUGAGUGCAGGAGAGGAAAGCGGAAUUCCCAGUGUAGCGGUGAAAUGCGUAGAUAUUGGGAGGAACACCAGUGGCGAAGGCGGCUUUCUGGACUGUAACUGACGCUGAGGCUCGAAAGCCAGGGGAGCGAACGGGAUUAGAUACCCCAGUAGUCCCUGUCUCUUAUACC